CUGGCUCAGGAUGAACGCUAGCUACAGGCUUAACACAUGCAAGUCGAGGGGCAGCAUUGGAGUAGCAAUACUCAGAUGGCGACCGGCGCACGGGUGAGUAACACGUAUCCAACCUGCCGCUUACUCGGGGAUAGCCUUUCGAAAGAAAGAUUAAUACCCGAUGGUAUAAAGAGUUCGCAUGUUCUCUUUAUUAAAGAAUUUCGGUAAGCGAUGGGGAUGCGUUCCAUUAGAUAGUUGGCGGGGUAACGGCCCACCAAGUCUACGAUGGAUAGGGGGUUCUGAGAGGAAGGUCCCCCACAUUGGAACUGAGACACGGUCCAAACUCCUACGGGAGGCAGCAGUGAGGAAUAUUGGUCAAUGGACGAGAGUCUGAACCAGCCAAAGUAGCGUGAAGGAUGACUGCCCUAUGGGUUGUAAACUUCUUUUAUAAGGGAAUAAAGUGAGGGACGUGUCCCUUUUUGUAUGUACCUUAUGAAUAAGGAUCGGCUAACUCCGUGCCAGCCGCCGC
rnacentral:rRNA from 1 species